rnacentral:rRNA from 1 species
AGUGAACGCUGGCGGCAGGCCUAAUACAUGCAGGUCGAACUGCAGCACAGCAGAGGGUGCGCUGUGGGUGGCGAGGGGCGGACGUGUGAGGAAUACAUGGGAAUCUGCGCAUUGGUGGGGGAUGACGUAUGGAAACGUACGCGAAUACCGCAUUCGCCCUCUGGGGGAAAGCCGGGCACCUUCAGACCUGGCGCGAUUGGGUGAGCCCAUGUUCGAUUAGCUAGUGGGGGGGGUAAAGGCCCACCAAGGCGACGAUCGAUGGCUGGUCUGAGAGGAUGAUCAGCCACACUGGGACUGAGACACGGCCACGACUCCUAAGGGAGGCACCAGUAGGGAAUAUUGGAGAAUGGGCGAAAGCCCGAUCCAGCCAUGCCGCGUGAGUGAAGAAGGCCCUCGGGUUGUAAAGCUCUUUCGUCCGGAAAGAAAAGCAUUCGGUUAACACCCGGGUGUUCUGACGGUACCGGCAGAAUAAGCACCGGCUAACUUCGUG